CAAUAGAGGCGCGAAAGACAGGGUACGGUCCGACAGCGGAGCGGGCGGCCUGGAUGGUCGGACGGGAAGGGGUCUUUCGCCGAAAGGAAGCGGUGUGCCCACUCUGUUUCCUUGGCAGCGCCGCGUAAACGGUGUUGCUGUCAUGUUGAGUGUAUCGACAUGGAGCGCUAUUGGU
rnacentral:ncRNA from 1 species